UUGGAAAUAAGAGGUUUUGUAAAACUACAAUGCAAGUUGCUACUAAGGUUUGUUACAUUAAAGUUUAAUAUAGAUUAUGUUCAGAAGACUAGGAAUUACCUUCUACAACAAGUUUAGCCGUGGAGGUCUUUUCUUUGUUUCCCAAACGUAAAACACAGGUGUAUUCACCAGCAUCGGAAAGUUGAACAUCAAUGAUGUGCAGCUUUCUGUCUUUACCAUCUGCAAUAAACCUGUGCUUGGGACUCUCACGGAUAUUGCUACCGUCUUUCAUCCAGGUUGUAAUUGCAGUGGAAGGGGAGACCAAACAUUCAAAGAUUGCUGAAGAGCCAACGAACUCUGAUUCUGUCAAGAUGAUGUCUUUGAUUUCUUUCACAAACUUCAGUGGCACAGCCUUUAGCUGAAGACAAACUAAUGAAGAUGUUGAAUAAGCUUGACAAAUGCAAAUAAUGUACAAAGCAAGGAAAAUGAAAAAAAGCAUGCUACUUAGCACUCUGGAAAUUAGGAAAAUGCAAGAAGACAUAUGUAGAUGAGACAAAGAUAGACCAUGUCUAUACAUGUAUGAAAUGGAUGGGAGACAAAGGAAGCGACACUCAUGAGCCAGGACCAUAAAAGCCACAGAAAUAUAAGAAAUGAAUGGGACUACUCUCUGAUCAUUGAAAAAGAGAGACAGAACAUUCGAUGGAGGCAGAAAGAGCGAGGAGUCAGGUAAAGGGGUACUACAUAAGUAUGUAUUUUUCAGCCUGUGAAAUACCUUUCAGAGGUGUAAGCUCCACUUUUUCUGGAACCUGAGGUUUUUCAGGAACUUUCUUCUUUGGAAUAGCUUUAAAGAAUAUGAUUUUACUUUUGUUAUUUGUAUAUUUAAUCUGAAGCAAGUGAUUAACUUUCUACUCCAAGAAUCAAAACCAAGCUUUGCUUAUAACCAGAAAGCAUUAAUAACAGCCAAGAACAGCCUUCAAAGAACAUACAAGCAGCAUUCGAACCAUGAAAACAGACUGCAGUUUUACUCCAAAGUUCAGUAGUUAAUUAAAGACCAGCAGAAAAAGAAGACACAGGGAAGAUGCUGAAUUGCACAUUGAGAAUUCUCCGAUAUUUGACCUACUAGAAAUUCAUACUUCCCUUGGACCCUCAGCUGCUUUAAAGAUAUUAGUUUGUUUUAGACAUGUCAGAAACAAGAAAUACAGAAGAAAGACAUCAAGUGGAAUGCAAACUUGUGCUUAUGAAGCAACCAAGCACCUCAGGAACUUGAGAGACAUUGAUUAUUUUAGACACUUAAAAUGCAAGAACCAAAGAAGAAUAAAGACCAAGUUUCCAGUUUCCAACAUAAGAGAGUAAAUAUCACAAGGCACAUACACAAGAUGAAACACUGACAUUUCACAGAAUCGGUUAAUGAGAAAAGAAUAAAAAGCACUUUAAAGACAUCAUUUCAUGAUAAAGAUUUAUUUUGAAGGACAAAAAAAGAGAAACCAAGAAGACCCCAC
rnacentral:lncRNA from 1 species